rnacentral:rRNA from 1 species
UCGAGAAUCUUCCACAAUGGACGAAAGUCUGAUGGAGCGACGCCGCGUGGUUGAUGAAGUCCUUCGGGACGUAAAAACCUUUUAUGAGGGAGGAAGUAAUUGACGUUACCUCAUGAAUAAGGGGCUCCUAACUCUGUGCCAGCAGGAGCGGUAAUACAGAGGCCCCGAGCAUUAUCCGGAAUCACUGGGCGUAAAGGGUGUGUAGGCGGUCGUAUUAGUCUUUUGUGAAAGCUUUCCGGCUUAACCGGGAAAACGCGGAAGAAACGGUACGACUUAGAGGUUGCGAGAGGUAUAUGGAACUCAUAGUGUAGGGGUGAUAUCCGUUGAUAUUAUGGGGAACACCAAAAGCGAAGGCAAUAUACUGGCGCAUACCUGACGCUGAGACACGAAAGCGUGGGAAUCGAACGGGAUUAGAUACCCCCGUAGUCC